GAUUUAUAGCUCAGUGGUAGAGCGUCUGAUUGCAGA
rnacentral:tRNA from 14 species